rnacentral:lncRNA from 1 species
UGUCGUGGAGGAUUUCUGUACGAUCACACUUACACCACGUCAUUAAUAAUAAGUCAAACAGAUUCUUUCUUUUCAAAUAAAAAUACAAUAAAAAUAUUUUUUAAAAUUAUGAUGGGACAUAUUUCUAAAAUAAAAUAUUUAAUUGAUUUGUUAUGCCACGUCACUAAUAUAUCCGUUACAUUCUAGAAUUUUUCCGUGUCGUGAUUCACGCCUCC